rnacentral:rRNA from 1 species
CUCAUCUUCGGGGGUAGAGCACUGUUUCGGCUAGGGGGCCAUCCCGGCUUACCAACCCGAUGCAAACUACGAAUACCGAAGAAUGUUAUCACGGGAGACACACGGCGGGUGCUAACGUCCGUCGUGAAGAGGGAAACAACCCAGACCGCCAGCUAAGGUCCCAAAGUCAUGGUUAAGUGGGAAACGAUGUGGGAAGGCACAGACAGCCAGGAUGUUGGCUUAGAAGCAGCCAUCAUUUAAAGAAAGCGUAAUAGCUCACUGGUCGAGUCGGCCUGCGCGGAAGAUGUAACGGGGCUAAACCAUGCACCGAAGCUGCGGCAGCGACGCUUAGGCGUUGUUGGGUAGGGGAGCGUUCUGUAAGCCGUUGAAGGUGUGCUGUGAGGCAUGCUGGAGGUAUCAGAAGUGCGAAUGCUGACAUAAGUAACGAUAAAGCGGGUGAAAAGCCCGCUCGCCGGAAGACCAAGGGUUCCUGUCCAACGUUAAUCGGGGCAGGGUGAGUCGACCCCUAAGGCGAGGCCGAAAGGCGUAGUCGAUGGGAAACAGGUUAAUAUUCCUGUACUUGGUGUUACUGCGAAGGGGGGACGGAGAAGGCUAUGUCAGCCGGGCGACGGUUGUCCCGGUUUAAGCAUGUAGGCGGAGGUUCCAGGUAAAUCCGGUACCUUGUUAACGCUGAGGUGUGAUGACGAGGCUCUACGGUGCUGAAGUGAUAAAUGCCCUGCUUCCAGGAAAAGCCUCUAAGCAUCAGGUAACACGAAAUCGUACCCCAAACCGACACAGGUGGUCAGGUAGAGAAUACCAAGGCGCUUGAGAGAACUCGGGUGAAGGAACUAGGCAAAAUGGUGCCGUAACUUCGGGAGAAGGCACGCUGAUGUGUAGGUGAAGUCCCUGCGGACGGAGCUGAAAUCAGUCGAAGAUACCAGCUGGCUGCAACUGUUUAUUAAAAACACAGCACUGUGCAAACACGAAAGUGGACGUAUACGGUGUGACGCCUGCCCGGUGCCGGAAGGUUAAUUGAUGGGGUUAGCGGCAACGCGAAGCUCUUGAUCGAAGCCCCGGUAAACGGCGGCCGUAACUAUAACGGUCCUAAGGUAGCGAAAUUCCUUGUCGGGUAAGUUCCGACCUGCACGAAUGGCGUAAUGAUGGCCAGGCUGUCUCCACCCGAGACUCAGUGAAAUUGAACUCGCUGUGAAGAUGCAGUGUACCCGCGGCAAGACGGAAAGACCCCGUGAACCUUUACUAUAGCUUGACACUGAACACUGGUCCUUGAUGUGUAGGAUAGGUGGGAGGCUUUGAAGCGUGGACGCCAGUCUGCGUGGAGCCAACCUUGAAAUACCACCCUUUAAUGGCUGGUGUUCUAACGUAGACCCGUAAUCCGGGUUGCGGACAGUGUCUGGUGGGUAGUUUGACUGGGGCGGUCUCCUCCCAAAGAGUAACGGAGGAGCACGAAGGUUGGCUAAUCCUGGUCGGACAUCAGGAGGUUAGUGCAAUGGCAUAAGCCAGCUUGACUGCGAGCGUGACGGCGCGAGCAGGUGCGAAAGCAGGUCAUAGUGAUCCGGUGGUUCUGAAUGGAAGGGCCAUCGCUCAACGGAUAAAAGGUACUCCGGGGAUAACAGGCUGAUACCGCCCAAGAGUUCAUAUCGACGGCGGUGUUUGGCACCUCGAUGUCGGCUCAUCACAUCCUGGGGCUGAAGUAGGUCCCAAGGGUAUGGCUGUUCGCCAUUUAAAGUGGUACGCGAGCUGGGUUUAGAACGUCGUGAGACAGUUCGGUCCCUAUCUGCCGUGGGCGCUGGAGAAUUGAGGGGGGCUGCUCCUAGUACGAGAGGACCGGAGUGGACGCAUCACUGGUGUUCGGGUUGUCAUGCCAAUGGCACUGCCCGGUAGCUAAAUGCGGAAGAGAUAAGUGCUGAAAGCAUCUAAGCACGAAACUUGCCCCGAGAUGAGUUCUCCCUGAGACUUUAAGUCUCCUGAAGGAACGUUGAAGACUACGACGUUGAUAGGUCGGGUGUGUAAGCGCAGCGAUGCGUUGAGCUAACCGAUACUAAUGAACCGUGAGGCUUAACCUU